rnacentral:tRNA from 1 species
AGGGAUGUAGUUAACUAUAACAUUUAAUUUGCAUUUAAAAAGUGCUAGUAUCCAACAUAGCCUUCCUUU